GUGGGGAAUAUUGGGCAAUGGACGCAAGUCUGACCCAGCAACGCCGCGUGAAGGAAGAAGGCUUUCGGGUUGUAAACUUCUUUUGUCAGGGAACAGUAGAAGAGGGUACCUGACGAAUAAGCCACGGCUAACUACGUGCCAGCAGCCGCGGUAAUACGUAGGUGGCAAGCGUUGUCCGGAUUUACUGGGUGUAAAGGGCGUGUAGCCGGGUGUGUAAGUCAGAUGUGAAAUCCGCGGGCUCAACCCGCGAACUGCAUUUGAAACUGCGCAUCUUGAGUAUCGGAGAGGUAAUCGGAAUUCCUUGUGUAGCGGUGAAAUGCGUAGAUAUAAGGAAGAACACCAGUGGCGAAGGCGGAUUACUGGACGACAACUGACGGUGAGGCGCGAAAGCGUGGGGAGCAAACAGGAUUAGAUACCCGAGUAGUCC
rnacentral:rRNA from 1 species